rnacentral:lncRNA from 1 species
CAGUGGAUUCCAGGGUUGUGAGAUUCAGUGACUCAGAAAUGUUCUUCCAUCUUUCAGGAUUGUCAUCUUCAGGGUUCACCAGUCUCUGAGGGGAAGUAGCAGCCACAUAUUUCAGUGUCUCUUGCUUUGGAGUGAGGGGAAAUUUUAUCUGAAGACCACUGGGUUAGCAGCUUAUUCCCAAAGUAAUGACUGGUAACGAAGAUGGAAUUAUCAUGACUCGCACAGACCAAUCAUCUGAGGACGAAGGAGGAUUCAAAGAAGACUAUCAUAAAGGAAGAAAACAACGAGAACAAACAUGCCGGUGUGUUGUUCUAAGUGUUUGCCUCAAGAAAAGGAAAUGGUUCCAUUUACCCAAGCACAUCCACAUUUCCCAUAAGCUCUGCAGUCAUGAUCUUGAAGUGAAAUCUCAAAACUGAAUUUCUAAGAGGAGCAGUUGGAAACUGAUGCUUGAUGAAGGGAAGGAAAAGCUUUUACUCAAUUAUCUACAAUAACAGCAGGAGAAAUGCUGAAAAUUACUGACACAGUAAAUGGAUUUUUGCAUAAAUGUUCUCUGUUUUCAAGUUUACCUUUGUGUGAAAGACCUUUAUGAUGAAGAGGUCCCUCUGUCCCAUCUCUUGUUUGUUAAAGAAUAGAAGAUCGAUUUUUUUUGUUGGAGUCAAUGGAAAAAUCACUGUGGAAGAUUGUUUAACCAGAAAUAUCUGACAGCUCCCAAGAUCUGAUUUUUCCAUGGUCAGGUGGCCAGUGUUUGGUGGAUCAGACAAAGGGUGAUGUGAUCUUAAAUGUAGUGGACGUCUCUUCCUAUUUGUUUCCCUUUUUUCAAAACUGUUUUAUUGAGAUAUAAUUUACAUACCACAGAGUUCAGCUGUUGAAAGUGUACAGUUCAAUGGCUUUUGGUAUUUUACAGACUUUUGCAGCCAUUGCUAUAAUCUGAAUUUAGGACAUUUUCAUCACCUGGAAAAGAAAUCCGGUGCCCAUUAGCAGUCACUUCCAUUUCCUCCAACUCUGCUAGCCUUUUCAACCACUAAACUACUUCCUGUCUCUGAAUUUGUCUACAGUGGACAACACGUAUAGAUUGUAUCAAACGGUGUCUGUGGUCUUUUGUGAUUGGUUUCUUUUACUUAGUAUAAUGUUUUUGAGGUUCAUCUGUUGUAACAUGUAUCAAUACUUUAUUCGCUU